UAAGGAAUAUUGCACAAUGGGCGAAAGCCUGAUGCAGCAACGCCGCGUGCGCGAUGAAGGCCUUCGGGUCGUAAAGCGCUUUUCUGGGGGAAGAGUAAGGACGGUACCUCAGGAAUAAGUCUCGGCUAACUACGUGCCAGCAGCCGCGGUAACACGUAGGAGACAAGCGUUAUCCGGAUUUAUUGGGCGUAAAGGGCAUGUAGGCGGGCUCUUAAGUCGGAUGUGAAAUCUCUUGGCUUAACCGGGAGGGGUCAUUCGAUACUGGGAGUCUUGAGGGCAGGAGAGGGAAGUAGAAUUCCCGGUGUAGUGGUGGAAUACGUAGAUAUCGGGAGGAAUACCAGUGGCGAAAGCGGCUUCCUGGCCUGUGCCUGACGCUGAUAUGCGAAAGCGUGGGUAGCAAACGGG
rnacentral:rRNA from 1 species